AGGACGAACGCUGGCGGCGUGCUUAACACAUGCAAGUCGAGCGGAAAGGCCUUUCGGGGUACUCGAGCGGCGAACGGGUGAGUAACACGUGAGUAAUCUGCCCAUCGCUUCAGGAUAGCCAUCGGAAACGGUGAUUAAUACUGGAUAUGACAUUCCUUCGCAUGUUGGGGUGUGGAAAGUUUUUUCGGCGGUGGAUGUGCUCGCGGCCUAUCAGUCUUGGUUGGGUGGGUAAUCGGCCUACCGAAGGCUUUGGACGGGUACGCCGGCCUGAGGAGGGUCGACCGGUCCACGACGUGGGACUGAGACCGACGGCCCAGACUUCCGACGGGAGCGAGCGAGGUAGGGAAUAGUGGACAAGUGGGCGGAAGUCCGUAG
rnacentral:rRNA from 1 species